CCUGGCAUCACAGUCUCUUGAUCAAACGACCUACCUGAGGAGUUCGUUGAUAGUGGAUAGUUUGUGAAUUUCGCGAAAGGUGGAGUUUGCAUUUGCUUCAACGAAAUAUAUAUUUGAGAUGAUAAAAG